AACGAACGCUGGCGGCAGGCUUAACACAUGCAAAUCGAGCGCCCCGCAAGGGGAGCGGCAGACGGGUGAGUAACGCGUGGGAAUCUACCCAUCUCUACGGAAUAACGCAUGGAAACGUGUGCUAAUACCGUAUACGUCCUUCGGGAGAAAGAUUUAUCGGAGAUCGAUGAGCCCGCGUUGGAUUAGCUAGUUGGUGGGGUACAGGCCUACCAAGGCGACGAUCCAUAGCUGGUCUGAGAGGAUGAUCAGCCACACUGGGACUGAGACACGGCCCAGACUCCUACGGGAGGCAGCAGUGGGGAAUAUUGGACAAUGGGCGCAAGCCUGAUCCAGCCAUGCCGCGUGAGUGAUGAAGGCCCUAGGGUUGUAAAGCUCUUUCACCGGUGAAGAUAAUGACGGUAACCGGAGAAGAAGCCCCGGCUAACUUCGUGCCAGCCGCCGCAGUAAAAC
rnacentral:rRNA from 1 species